ensembl:lncRNA
GAAAAGGAAAGAAAAAGAUUGUAAAGACUUAUAGAAACUCCGGUCUCCUGCAGGUAGACUUUCUCUGGCUCAGGAUGCAGUGAGUGUUAGCUGCUCCGUCGUGUCUGACUCUUUGUCACCCCGUGGAUUGUAUUCCGCCAGACUCCUCUGUCAAUGGGUCAUGACAGAGGUCACUGUCCCAAGCAGCAGUGCUGCAGUGGAUAACCAUGCCUUUCUCCAGGGGAAUCUUUCUGACCCAGGGACUGAACGCAGGUCUCCUGCAUUGCAGGCAGAUUCUUUACCGUCUGGACCUCUAGGGAGACACAGGACAAUGCCCAGCAAAUCCAGCGCCAGGAGGGAUGAACAAUUAUGAGCGACCAUGCAUCUUGUUUCUGCUCCUUCCACUGCUCCUGACCCAGCGUAUGAAAAGGCAAAUUCCUGCUAAGUGUGCCUUAUCUCACAGAAUCUUCUCGCCAUCCCUAAGAUGAGUAUCGUGAUUAGAUCCUCCUUCCCCCAGCUUUAUUUUUAACAUCUUAAUCAUUUUCAGUGUACAUUCAAAGGUAAAUACAUAAAUAUUGUUAUGCGACAGGUCUGCGGAAAUUUUUCAUCUCACAAAACUGAAACUCUGUGCCUAUUAAACAGUCAUUUCCCCCUCCCACCUCCCAGCCCAUGGCAGCCACCACUCCCUUUUCUGUUUCUGUGAAUUUGCC